CAGGUUUGACCUGCUAAACAGCGCGGAGAGGGAUUUUAUCCUUCGUUGAAGCCUUAUGACCCCGAUAAUUCCUAUCACAAUACUUCGCAAAUCUCACAUGUUUCUUAUAUAUUUUUGGAUGUUAGAGGUCAGAUUUGAAUGGUGAAAUGUUUCAUGAGCUACCGUAAAGGUAGUGAAUUCCGGUCCUGUGUUCGUUAUGCUUGGUUUGGAAGGUUCAGCUAGGCCGCACCGGUUGGGGACUCGCAAAAAAUUCACAAAUAAAACGAAUUUUUGAGUUGAAAAAAAAAAAAUCCUUGCUCUCAAGUAUUUUUUUUACCCGAGCUGGGGGAGAGUGUAACCGUCGGGACUUCACUAGUGAAGGUCUCCGCGGCUAUCGCGUAGUAAAUUCGUAAAAAUACCAUGCUUGGGUAGUGUUUGUGUGUCUGGUGGUUUUCUCCCAGCGAAGACCCGGCUCAUCGUCCAACAACAACAUCCCAGUGUGCAGCCAGCGCUACCAACGAACUUCCAUAACCCGCCACCAGAGGAGCUGUUAGCUGUGGGCGGGGAGGCGAAAGGAGUCGUGACAGGAAGGAUGGGGAUCAGGGGUGAAGGCUCGGAUGAAGAUGGGGAGGCAAGGGGAAGAACUAGGACCGCCAUUAUUCUGGGAGUCCGCGGAAUCGUUCUAUUCCCCGGACGACGCCAAAGCGAACAGAUCGAUCGACUACCAUCUGUUCCGCCAAGUUAUUUUUAAUAGUGCCCAAUAGUGCCCAUCAGUGCCCAGCAUCACCAGCUGGACCAGUAGGAGAGCAACACCGAGUUGCUAGAGUGCAGGAGUUGAUUUGGAGGACACCAGGACCCCUUGUGUUUGGUGAUAACCGUCUCAGUACCAACGACGGCUCACCCGUGUCGCGGACACCUACCGGGGACUCAAACCACCUCGAGUCUCCCCGAACGCAACCGUUACCGGGAUAACCUGCUCGACCUGUGCCUAUCCGGGGAUUCCGGGCACCCUCGACGGUGUACCGAAGGCCACAGCCGUAACCAUCUGUGGUGAGGCCAGGACGAGCAGCGGACGGGUCCAUCGACGACGCGCCGUAGGAGAGCCACCUUGGACGGUGCAGCGACCUCAAAUUUAAAUCAUUAAAUUUGUCCAUUUUUCGAACCUCACCACAGUUCUGAUCAUGCGCGCUUACGCAAGCAUAAAUAAUUUUACACGUCGACUCGCGUUGCGCGACAAAUAAUUAAGCUUAUGUACAGGUGUGGAUCAUGAGUCAUCCUCACCUGAAAAGCCCUUUAUUAAAUUUCGCCAAUUGUUAGGCAAUCAAAAAAAAAAUGGUUAAGCUUUCAAUUAUGAAUGUGCGAUGUUAUUACACAGGGGAAAUUGAGGGUGUGGCUUAACCAAAUUCAUUGACAUGUUUGUUCAAUGGAGAAUUCGACCUUCUCAUUAUUGACCAACAUUUUGGAGAAUGUUUUAGGAACAUAAUUUUGAUAUUCCAAUAACAUAAUUUAAAGUUUCACGACAAUGGUUCGAACCCAUGACUUCCGAUUUUGAGGUGUACUCACUACACCAUACGGAAAGUCACGAAGAAUUGCAGAGGUCUGCAUAAUUUAAUUCAUGAGGUUCAUCGAUGCUUCUCAUCGAAACGGACCACUUUUAGUAGAACAAAAUUUAGUAGAGUUUUCGGGGACUGACUAUAAAAACUCCAAAAUUCUUGAGGAGGGCAGUUAGUUCCAGUUAGUUCCAGUCAGUUCCAGCCAGUUCAAGCCCAGUCCAGUUCCAGAUCCUGAAGAAGCCCCAGACCAGCCGGACCCGCCAGCAGCCACCAGUAGUAGAGGCCCCAGUCCAGCCGGACUUAGCGGUGGAGGCCGCAGUCCGCCGGGACUUAGCCGCUGUGAAGAGUCCGCCGGGACUUAGCCGCCGUGAAGAGUCCACCCGGGACUUAGGAGUUCGGGGUCUGGCAUGGCUCGGCGAAGAGGUCUGGAGGACAAGUCUGGCUUCAACGUAGAGAAUUGGCUCGACGAAAGUCUUAAUGAAAUUAGCAACAAAAAGUUGAGUGAUGUGAUCGUGCGCGUAAAAGUUGAGAGUGUUACCGCAAAAAUGUAAUCUUUUAAAAAAGUGUAAUACACAAAUAAGUGAAGUUUA